rnacentral:pre_miRNA from 1 species
UUAACUCAAAUUUGUAUGGAGUUGGAACGUUUGCCCACGUUUGCCGCUAGGGUCGCUGUUCCAACUCCAUACAAAUAUGAGUUA